rnacentral:rRNA from 1 species
GACGAACGCUGGCGGCGUGCUUAACACAUGCAAGUCGAACGGAAAGGCCCUGCUUUUGUGGGGUGCUCGAGUGGCGAACGGGUGAGUAACACGUGAGUAACCUGCCCUUGACUUUGGGAUAACUUCAGGAAACUGGGGCUAAUACCGGAUAGGAGCUCCUGCUGCAUGGUGGUGGUUGGAAAGUUUCGGCGGUUGGGGAUGGACUCGCGGCUUAUCAGCUUGUUGGGGGGGUAGUGGCUUACCAAGGCUUUGACGGGUAGCCGGCCUGAGAGGGUGACCGGCCACAUUGGGACUGAGAUACGGCCCAGACUCCUACGGGAGGCAGCAGGGGGGAAUUUUGCACAAUGGGCGGAAGCCUGAUGCAGCAACGCCGCGUGCGGGAUGACGGCCUUCGGGUUGUAAACCGCUUUCGCCUGUGACGAAGCGUGAGUGACGGUAAUGGGUAAAGAAGCACCGGCUAACUACGUG